UAAAAGAUGGCGGUAAUGAUUUAUAAACUUUAAGGUCUUUAAGUUGGUAUGGUAAAAUGUCAGAUAUGAUGAUAAGGUAAAUUUGGAGUUUUUGAGGUUUCGAGGUGACGAAAUUCCGUCGACUCGGCCAUUUCGCAAACGAUUCGGCUGGUAUCCAGAAGUGUAGUGGCUCGCGUGUGAACUUUUUCCUUUAGUUCUUUGGACAAGUUCCUUUUCAUUUAACUUUUUCCUUCAAACCUAUUUAAGUUCUACGGUUUGCGAACCGUUCUUUUUCAUCGAGUCACCUUUCUGUGUGACCUUUCUUUACAUACCAAGAAGCGCUCGUUCAACGGGCGCUUGGUAUAGGCUGGUUUUUUCUCAUACCCGUUUCUGCGGAAACGAUCCCGACGGUGGAACUCUCCACGUGGUUUUGCGAAACCUAACCUCCAAUUCGGAACCGAUCCUGCAACCGGGCACCCCUCGUGUCCCCUGCUCCACUCGUGCGUGCUGCUAAGGCCCGCCUUUCGGGGCAGUCAAACGGAGGUCGAGGUAAUUCG